AGCAGUAGCCGCGGGAAUACAGAGGGUGCGAGCGUUAAUCGGAUUUACUGGGCGUAAAGCGUGCGUAGGCGGCUUUUUAAGUCGGAUGUGAAAUCCCUGAGCUUAACUUAGGAAUUGCAUUCGAUACUGGAAGCUAGAGUAUGGGAGAGGAUGGUAGAAUUCCAGGUGUAGCGGUGAAAUGCGUAGAGAUCUGGAGGAAUACCGAUGGCGAAGGCAGCCAUCUGGCCUAAUACUGACGCUGAGGUACGAAAGCAUGGGGAGCAAACAGGAUUAGAUACCCCCGUAGUCCCUGUCUCUUAUACA
rnacentral:rRNA from 1 species